GAAGAAACAAAAAUGCCAAUUACUGACCAAGAACACGAAUUUUUCACUGAUCUCCUGUAAUUCCCCACCAAGCUGAAGAGCCUGGAAGGUAGGAUUAGAUCAUGCACACUGCUCAUCUGCUGCGUGCUGCUGGGCACAGUGCAGUUGGCUGAUCUGCAAGUCUAUCCGUGUGUCCUGUUGAGAGAGGUUCCUACUGUCUCUGGAAGAAAACAAGUUUGUCCAAGGAACAGCAGCAGCCUUUGGAGUAUGGAAAACCACAGAAGAAACUGGAACCGUCUACGAAAGUCAACCCAAGCACCUCUUCC
rnacentral:lncRNA from 1 species